rnacentral:ncRNA from 1 species
AUAAGAAUGACCGCGUGUGGGCAGGAAGCGUGGAGCGAAGCCGCGAGCCGAUGAACAAGAAUCGAAAUGCCGACCGGAGCGAGCGGGCAAGCAACCGCAACGCUCUCGUGGCCAAGGAGCGGCAGCGUAGAUCCGAGGGUUGUACGGUGAAGGAUUGCGUUC